rnacentral:sRNA from 1 species
CUGUACCCACGUACACUCCGGUUCCUCCGCGCCGUCCGCACCCACCUGACGACUGCUCGCUACGUUUUGUUAGCC